rnacentral:pre_miRNA from 1 species
AUGUGGGGCAACCCAUCUUUAAGUAGGGAUAAAUUAUUCUAAAAGAAAUAAAUCCUGGGUAGUUUCCCUUCAAGUGUCUUGA